UGGUGUAUAGCUCAGUGGCACAGCACCUGCCUGGGAAGCUCAAGGCCUGAAUUCGAUUCUCAGUACCAA
rnacentral:tRNA from 1 species